GAUGAACGCUAGCGAUAGGCUUAACACAUGCAAGUCGAGGGGUAACGUGUUGGCAGCUUGCUUCCGAUGACGACGACCGGCGGAUGGGUGCGUAACGCGUAUGCAACUUGCCUCACAGUGGAGAAUAACCCGGAGAAAUACGGACUAAUACUCCAUACACUCUUAAGUACGCCUGUACAUGAGAGGAAAGAUUUAUCGCUGUGAGAUAGGCAUGCGUCCUAUUAGGUAGUUGGUGAGGUAACGGCUCACCAAGCCGACGAUAGGUAGGGGUGCUGAGAGGCAGAUCCCCCACAUUGGGACUGAGACACGGCCCAAACUCCUACGGGAGGCAGCAGUGAGGAAUAUUGGUCAAUGGAGGAAACUCUGAACCAGCCAAGUCGCGUGAAGGAAGAAUGUCCUAAGGAUUGUAAACUUCUUUAGCGAGCGAGUAAGGACUUCCACGUGAUGGGAGUUUGAAAGUAGCUCGAGAAUAAGUAUCGGCUAACUCCGUG
rnacentral:rRNA from 1 species